GAAGCUGUGUGCAAAAAAACGUUUUUUUUUUUUUUUAUUCAUUUGAAGGAGAUGUUGGCACACAGAAAAAUAACAAUAUGAUGCUACCAACUCAUAUUUCCCAGUUAGGAUGGUGUUCUCAGACUUGAAAGCUUCCCCCUUCUGCCUCCAAAUGUAACAAUGGUCCUUAAGGCCAACCAGCUCAACUUUAGUGUUCUUAGACCACAGGACAUGUCUCCAAAAAUUAAUCCCUUGUCCAUGUGUGAGUGUCGGUUCGUGGCCUUUUGAGGCUGGAGUUUCAGCAGGAAAGAUGACGAAGCCGCAGCAUGUGGCAGUAGUAAUAUAUUUAUUUGUUGGUAGCAGCAUUCACUCUGACAACCAACCAACAACCAACCUACAACCAACUUGGUUUACAGACACUGCCUUAAAUACCCCCUGCUGAUUAAGGGUUAAACCAUUCUGCACUAAACAAUUUACUAUUAACUUUAUCUAUAAAUUACAAUAUUUACAUUAUAUAAAUACACAUACACAUUCCCACCUAUUUUUAUAAAUAUUUUAUCUUUUAACCCCACACCUAAAAACCCCUUAAACAAACGUGCAAAAGUUCCCCCCUGCUUUUCCCAUGGUCUCUCCCGGAACCUAUAAAUGGUGUCUGGGCCCCCGGGGAAGCAUUUGUCCAAACACCCUGGAGUACAUAGAAAUGGAGGACAUAGAAAACAGGUAAGUCACCACAUGCUAACACUCUCAUCUCACUUCUCACAGAUUCUAUACCAUUUGCUUAAGUUUCCAGACAGUAGACCUUAGCUCCAAAUAACAAUUCUUCUUUUCACAGAGCCCACACCAUUUCCCAAUGAGGAGCAGCUGUGCAGAGCCUGAACAAAAGGCUACAUGCUAAUUAUUAAAAUGUCCAAUAAAUAUUCAAUAAAUAGUUAAAACUUCUUGUGUGCAAAUGGUUAUUUCUGUGCAAAGUCAUGCUUAAAGUGCUGUGCUCAACAAAGUGCUAAUUAAGGUGCAAGUUUACAGUGCAAAAGUAUUCUUAAAGUGCAAUACCAGUUACUUUUCCUAAAAACAGUCCCAGUAAUGAAGACCUCUUCAUUACAGUGGGUUUGAAAACUUUAAUGUGGCUUUUACGUGUUUGUCAGAAUUAUUUUUACUAUUCUCUAUAUGUUUUCUUUUAUUUACCAUAUUCAUUGCAUUUAUCACAUAUUUACUCAUUACUGUUAAAAAGUUUUCAGGUGACUGAUUUCUCUCUCUCUCUCUUUGUGUUUAAUGUUUUUAUUAUAUAUUUACUGGAACAUAUAGACCAGUGGUUACCAUCUUAUUUUCCUGUAUAUAUCUAUUGAUUUUCUCUCUUAUGUGUACAGAAGGCCUGCAGAAAGCAGAAAAAUAUGUUGUGAUAAUGAUAUGAACUGCACUCAGCCAUCUGGUCUGCAUACGCAUAAUUGAACUGUGGGAAACUUUGUAUUUUCUCGAAGGUCACAUUGCUGUAUGCCUCCCCUACACUCCUUA